UACAGAGGUCUCAAGCGUUGUUCGGAUUCAUUGGGCGUAAAGGGUGUGUAGGUGGCGCCGUAAGUCAGGUGUGAAAUCUCGGGGCUUAACUCCGAAACUGCAUUUGAUACUGCGGUGCUUGAGGACUGGAGAGGAGACUGGAAUUUAUGGUGUAGCAGUGAAAUGCGUAGAUAUCAUAAGGAAGACCAGUGGCGAAGGCGGGUCUCUGGACAGUUCCUGACACUGAGACACGGAGGCCAGGGGAGCAAACGGG
rnacentral:rRNA from 1 species